AAAGGGUCUAGGGGGCGCAUCCAAUUUUCUGCCACCGAAUACAUUAGCAUGGGAUAAUGGAAUAGGACCCUGUCCUCCUAUUUUCAGUUGGUUUGCCGCGAGGACCAGGGUAAUGAUUAAUAGGGAUAGUUGGGGGCAUUAAUAUUUAAUUGUCAGAGGUGAAAUUCUUGGAUUUAUGAAAGAUUAACUUCUGCGAAAGCAUCUGCCAAGGAUGUUUUCAUUAAUCAAGAACGAAAGUUAGGGGAUCGAAGACGAUCAGAUACCGUCGUAGUCUUAACCAUAAACGAUGCCGACCAGCGAUUAGGAGACGUUGAAUACAAAACACCACCAUGCGCAUUGCGGUCGUCUUUGGUGUGUCGCUCACAAGGCGGCAUCAUCGGGACGGCUUAGCUCGCAUGGCACCGGUGAAUGACUCCCCUAGCAGCUUGUGAGAA
rnacentral:rRNA from 1 species